rnacentral:rRNA from 1 species
CCUACGGGUGGCUGCAGUGGGGAAUAUUGGACAAUGGGGGGAACCCUGAUGCAGCGACGCCGCGUGAGUGAAGCAGUAUUUCGGUAUGUAAAGCCCUAUCAGCAGGGAAGAAAAUGACGGUACCUGCCUAAGAAGCCCCGGCUAACUACGUGCCAGCAGCCGCGGUAAUACGUAGGGGGCAAGCGUUAUCCGGAUUUACUGGGUGUAAAGGGGGCGUAGACGGCGCAGCAAGUCAGAUGUGAAAGGCCGGGGCCCAACCCCGGGACUGCAUUUGAAACUGUUUAACUGGAGUACAGGAGAGGUAAGCGGAAUUCCUAGUGUAGCGGUGAAAUGCGUAGAUAUUAGGAGGAACACCAGUGGCGAAGGCGGCUUACUGGACUGUAACUGACGUUGAGGCUCGAAAGCGUGGGGAGCAAACAGGAUUAGAUACCCCUGUAGUC